CACUAUCGUUAACUGAAUACAUAGGUUAACGAGGCGAACCGGGGGAACUGAAACAUCUAAGUACCCCGAGGAAAAGAAAUCAACCGAGAUUCCCCCAGUAGCGGCGAGCGAACGGGGAGCAGCCCAGAGUCUGAAUCAGCUUGUGUGUUAGUGGAACGGUCUGGAAAGUCCGACGGUACAGGGUGAUAGUCCCGUACACCAAAAUGCACAGGCUGUGAACUCGAAGAGUAGGGCGGGACACGUGGUAUCCUGUCUGAAUAUGGGGGGACCAUCCUCCAAGGCUAAAUACUCCUGACUGACCGAUAGUGAACCAGUACCGUGAGGGAAAGGCGAAAAGAACCCCGGCGAGGGGAGUGAAAAAGAACCUGAAACCGUGUACGUACAAGCAGUGGGAGCACCCUUUUGGGGUGACUGCGUACCUUUUGUAUAAUGGGUCAGCGACUUAUAUUCUGUAGCAAGGUUAACCGUAUAGGGGAGCCGCAGGGAAACCGAGUCUUAACUGGGCGUUAAGUUGCAGGGUAUAGACCCGAAACCCGGUGAUCUAGCCAUGGGCAGGUUGAAGGUUGGGUAACACUAACUGGAGGACCGAACCGACUAAUGUUGAAAAAUUAGCGGAUGACUUGUGGCUGGGGGUGAAAGGCCAAUCAAACCGGGAGAUAGCUGGUUCUCCCCGAAAGCUAUUUAGGUAGCGCCUCGUGAAUUCAUCUUCGGGGGUAGAGCACUGUUUCGGCUAGGGGGUCAUCCCGACUUACCAACCCGAUGCAAACUACGAAUACCGAAGAAUGUUAUCACGGGAGACACACGGCGGGUGCUAACGUCCGUCGUGAAGAGGGAAACAACCCAGACCGCCAGCUAAGGUCCCAAAGUCAUGGUUAAGUGGGAAACGAUGUGGGAAGGCACAGACAGCCAGGAUGUUGGCUUAGAAGCAGCCAUCAUUUAAAGAAAGCGUAAUAGCUCACUGGUCGAGUCGGCCUGCGCGGAAGAUGUAACGGGGCUAAACCAUGCACCGAAGCUGCGGCAGCGACACUAUGUGUUGUUGGGUAGGGGAGCGUUCUGUAAGCCUGCGAAGGUGACCUGUGAGGGUUGCUGGAGGUAUCAGAAGUGCGAAUGCUGACAUAAGUAACGAUAAAGCGGGUGAAAAGCCCGCUCGCCGGAAGACCAAGGGUUCCUGUCCAACGUUAAUCGGGGCAGGGUGAGUCGACCCCUAAGGCGAGGCCGAAAGGCGUAGUCGAUGGGAAACAGGUUAAUAUUCCUGUACUUGGUGUUACUGCGAAGGGGGGACGGAGAAGGCUAUGUUAGCCGGGCGACGGUUGUCCCGGUUUAAGCAUGUAGGCGGAGGUUCCAGGUAAAUCCGGUACCUUUUAACGCUGAGGUGUGAUGACGAGGCACUACGGUGCUGAAGUAACAAAUGCCCUGCUUCCAGGAAAAGCCUCUAAGCAUCAGGUAACAUUAAAUCGUACCCCAAACCGACACAGGUGGUCAGGUAGAGAAUACCAAGGCGCUUGAGAGAACUCGGGUGAAGGAACUAGGCAAAAUGGUGCCGUAACUUCGGGAGAAGGCACGCUGAUAGGUAGGUGAAGCCCCUGCGGGUGGAGCUGAAAUCAGUCGAAGAUACCAGCUGGCUGCAACUGUUUAUUAAAAACACAGCACUGUGCAAACACGAAAGUGGACGUAUACGGUGUGACGCCUGCCCGGUGCCGGAAGGUUAAUUGAUGGGGUUAUCCGUAAGGAGAAGCUCUUGAUCGAAGCCCCGGUAAACGGCGGCCGUAACUAUAACGGUCCUAAGGUAGCGAAAUUCCUUGUCGGGUAAGUUCCGACCUGCACGAAUGGCGUAAUGAUGGCCAGGCUGUCUCCACCCGAGACUCAGUGAAAUUGAACUCGCUGUGAAGAUGCAGUGUACCCGCGGCAAGACGGAAAGACCCCGUGAACCUUUACUAUAGCUUGACACUGAACAUUGAGCCUUGAUGUGUAGGAUAGGUGGGAGGCUUUGAAGCGUGGACGCCAGUCUGCGUGGAGCCAACCUUGAAAUACCACCCUUUAAUGUUUGAUGUUCUAACGUAGACCCCUAAUCGGGGUUGCGGACAGUGUCUGGUGGGUAGUUUGACUGGGGCGGUCUCCUCCCAAAGAGUAACGGAGGAGCACGAAGGUUAGCUAAUCCUGGUCGGACAUCAGGAGGUUAGUGCAAUGGCAUAAGCUAGCUUGACUGCGAGCGUGACGGCGCGAGCAGGUGCGAAAGCAGGUCAUAGUGAUCCGGUGGUUCUGAAUGGAAGGGCCAUCGCUCAACGGAUAAAAGGUACUCCGGGGAUAACAGGCUGAUACCGCCCAAGAGUUCAUAUCGACGGCGGUGUUUGGCACCUCGAUGUCGGCUCAUCACAUCCUGGGGCUGAAGUAGGUCCCAAGGGUAUGGCUGUUCGCCAUUUAAAGUGGUACGCGAGCUGGGUUUAGAACGUCGUGAGACAGUUCGGUCCCUAUCUGCCGUGGGCGCUGGAGAAUUGAGGGGGGCUGCUCCUAGUACGAGAGGACCGGAGUGGACGCAUCACUGGUGUUCGGGUUGUCAUGCCAAUGGCAUUGCCCGGUAGCUAAAUGCGGAAGAGAUAAGUGCUGAAAGCAUCUAAGCACGAAACUUGCCCCGAGAUGAGUUCUCCCUGAGACUUUAAGUCUCCUGAAGGAACGUUGAAGACGACGACGUUGAUAGGCCGGGUGUGUAAGCGCAGCGAUGCGUUGAGCUAACCGGUACUAAUGAACCGUGAGGCUUAACCUUACAACGCCGAAG
rnacentral:rRNA from 1 species